GAACGGAUGGAGGAGACCCUCGGAUUGGUCCAACUCGCCGCUAACCUUUAGUGGUUCAUGCUGAUUUUGAGAUUCAAGGUCUGAGAACUCGUUGAUACCUUUGAUGGAUCUGAUUCCUACAGCUUCCCGUCCACCGUUUCUGGGAGGUUGUUGACCUAACGUCAGGAUCUGCCUACUCCAUCUCCUUGGGCAACAGCCAACAGAAUGACUAAAUGACAGCCUAGGUCGUCCUGAUUCCUGCCCUGCCUCUCUGCUGGUGGCCUGCCCAAGAGAACCCUCAGCCGUUCGUCCCUGAGCAUCAGAGCCCUUGUCUCUUCCCCCUUGUCAGGCCGUUGCUGUUGCAAGGUCUGCAGUCACACAUCCAGUCUUACCACCGGGCCUGGAAGCCCCGAGACACGUUCAGUGCGUUCUCUGAGUUCUGCACAUCCUUAUGGUCCCUUUGGGUAAUGUUAUUAAUGAUAAUUAGGGUCAACUACUCGUACAGUUGGGGGGCAAAACAUGCUCCCGCUGCAAGAGAAGGCGCGUAAGGGGAAAUCAAAUAGGCAGGAUUUGGCCAUUGGAAGUUGGCACUGAAAUAAUAAGGACUGGAUCCCGGACUCCGUCUGCUGCAGGCGGAGAGAAACCCUUGGUGAUGUUUGCCAAAUGAACAGAUAAAUAGGCCCCGGCGAUGGCCGACAAGAAGUUUUGGGAACUAUGUCUGUUACCAGGCUUCUCGGUAAUGACCUCAUGUUCGAAAUGAUUUUGUUUCUUAUGAAUACUCCCCAGAAGAUCCCGAGUAAGAACCUGAUUUAAACACAAUGAAUUCCUCACGAUACCAUGGGGAAAAAAAAAAAAAAAAAAAAAAACUCAAGAAGUGACAACAUUGUUGGCUGAGGUGAUCGACCGGCUGUCAGGGGAAAAUAAGGCCAAAACAAACACGGAACUCAGGACACCCUCUGGGUGAGUCCUCGUAGGACCAAGGGAGGCCGUGGAAUCCGGGGCAUGGCUCAGGUGCCAGACUCUUCACAUCCAAGGCUCACCCGCAAUCUCAGCCUUUCAAGUGAUGUAUUUCUCAAUAGGUCCAGCCUGUGCGGGCCUUUCGAUUUUUCAUUUCGAUGUCAGUAUUCUUUCUCGGGAAAAAACCAUCCCUUUUUCUUCACCCUACUUCCGCCUCACCCAUCACAGUUCUACCCGGCAACCAAAUUCCUCAUUAAAUUUCCUUCUUCCAUGAAACAUCCUGCUCUCCCUGCUCCCUUACUGGAAGUGAUCCCCCCUCCUCUUCACUUGGUAAACUUUAUUUUGCGUAUAUUAUGCAAGUUCGUUCGUAGUGUUUUGACUCUGCCCCCACU